GUCCAUAUAGCCCACCCCUAGGGCAAAGUAGGCGACAGCUGUAGCCUAUAUGAUUAUUUGUUAUUUCAUUUCUUAUAAAUUAUUAGUCAGCUAUUCCAU